GUCGAGAAUCUUUCACAAUGGGGGCAACCCUGAUGGAGCGACGCCGCGUGGAGGAUAAGGUCUUCGGAUUGUAAACUCCUGUCAUGCGUGAACAAGGUUGCUUGGUUAAUACCUGGGCAAAUUGAUGGUAACGCAAGAGGAAGAGACGGCUAACUCUGUGCCAGCAGCCGCGGUAAUACAGAGGUCUCAAGCGUUGUUCGGAAUCACUGGGCGUAAAGGGUGCGUAGGUGGCGUGGUAAGUCAGAUGUGAACGCCCGGGGCGCAACCUCGGAACUGCAUCCGAUACUGCCAUGCUAGAGUACUGGAGAGGUGACUAGAAUUCUCGGUGUAGCAGUGAAAUGCGUAAAUAUCGAGAGGAAUACCAAAGGCGUAGGCAGGUCACUGGACAGUUACUGACACUGAGGCACGAAGGCCAGGGGAGCGAACGGGAUUAGAAACCCUUGUAGUCC
rnacentral:rRNA from 1 species